CUAUUUUCCAACUAUAACAUUGAUCUGGACAAAAGUGAAAUAAUGAUAUUAGCAGUGCCGGGACCUGUAUGGACCACUUUGUCCAUAUGCUUUUGAUUUAGCUGGGUUGACUCUGGAUUUAAAUAUCUAUGAGUCCAUAUUAUGCCAUCAAUUUCCCCAAUCUCCUUAAAACCCUGACAGUAGAUCUGAAGUGAUGGAAAUUUCCAUAGUUCUCACUCUUAGGGCGGGUAUAAAUAUUAAUGUAGAUGGCAUUACCAAGAAUUCACUCUAUACAGAUACCUACC